rnacentral:lncRNA from 1 species
CAAUUUAGUUUACUCAUAAAACUAGUGAAAUAUAGCCAGGACAUUAAGUUACAGUUAUGUUUUUCUGGAGAUGGAUCUGGUUUGAAUCUCAUCUCUCUUUUUAAGAGACGGAAAAUCUUGGGCAAGUUAUUUGACCUUUCUCAGGCUCAGUUUUCUUACAUAUAAAAUGGGAUAAUAAUAACACCAACUUGGUAGGGUUAAUGGAGAAAACAAAUAAAAUGAGAGAAAGCAUGGCAUUUAAAAUUGACUUCAAGCUUAUGCCUGUUUACAUCAAUACUGAUCUUCGGUUUCAUGAUGUGCCAUGACAUGUGUUGAACACUGCACAAAUAGGAUUUCAUUUCAUCCUCAGAAUCUUUGUUAUGAGGAGGCACUAUUUUUCCACUUUAUAAUCCUUUUUAUUUCUGUAAUGUUGGUAGUAAUGUCCCCUCUUUCGCUUCUCAUUUUAGUUAUUUGUGUCUUCUCUUUUUUUCUUAAUCAUUCUAGCUAAAAGUUUGUAAGUUUUGUUGAUCCUUUUGAAGAAUCAACUCUUGGCUUUGUUGAGUUUCUCUCUUUUUAAAAUAAUUUCUAUUUUAUCUCAUUUUUCCACUUUAUAGGUGAGAAAACUGAUGCCUAAUUUUAAACAGUUAUUAAGUAUGAGUCAAGACUUGAACCUAGAAUGUCAGGUUCCAAAGCCUAAUCUCAUGAACUGCUAUGAAAAGAAGGCAUUGAAUCUGGGAGUUGUCUGUCUUGCAGAAGACAUGAGUUCUCUACUGUUCCACCAUGCCAUACCUGGUCCAGAGGUCAACCUAAUUCUGGGAUUCCACCAGGGGGUCUGCCUGACUAGUAGAAUAAAGCCACAUCCUACAACCUGUCUUUGACCAUUAAUAUGGAUGAUAUUUUGGCCUCUAUAUAUAUUCCUUUUUUUAGUUUUUAUUUCAAUUAUAGUUAGCAUGUAGUAUAAUAUUAGUUUCAGGUGUACAAUAUAGUGAUUCAAUACUUCCAUACAACACCGAGUGCUCAUCACAAGUGUACUCCUUAAUCCCAUCACCUAUUUCACAUACACACACACACACACACACACACACACACACACUUAAGCUCAGAACUCAGCAGAGAAGAGGGUUGCUAUUUAUGUGCCCUCCCCCUUGGGGACUCCAAAAGUAACUACCAGGGUCAAGAUUCAAAUUCUUCAAAGCUCAUGCUCUCAAAUCACUACUCUGGUGGCAGCAACAGCAGCAAUUAUCUAAUAAUCCACAGGCUCCCCUACAUUUUCCAGCCUUUCUUGUUGUUAGUUUGGGGU